GUGCUCAAUUUGGCAGCGUGUGUACUAAAACUGGAACCAGACAAAGCAGACUGGCAUGGCCCCCUGCGCAAGAACGACACCCGAAUUCCUGCAGUGGUCCAGAUUUUG
rnacentral:snRNA from 1 species